CUCGGAGCUCCUUCGAGCCUCCGUCCCCGGUGGCCCAUGUGUCACUGCCAGCUCCGCUACAUACGGCGGUCGGGAUUCGAAAAGUUUUGCUUUUCUUAGCGAAUCGAAAAGGUAAUCCUCUUUUAUUAUUUUUAUGGUGCUUUGUGUGUACGAUAUGCAGGUAUUCGAGAAGUAAAUAAAGGAAAUAAAGCAAGAGGAAUCACCUCUGUUCUUUGGCAAGGCUUCCAAAAAUUUAUAAUCUGUUUUUGUGUUUUUAUAUCUGAUAAAAAAAAUCGUAUCGUUUACAAAUUAGUGAAGAGGCUUUUAUGGUCUUCUGUGAAUAGUUACAUUUUGGAAAGAAAUCUUUGAUUUCUUUUCCAUGUUUGCUUCUCUUUUCUGCUGUGGUUCUUUCCUUUUUGCAGGUACCAGCGAGGAUAUCACGGCGCUGAGUGCGCUGGCAUUGAUUCGUGCACCGAUUACGGCGCGAUACGGAGCUGGAGUCAUGGCGCCGAUGAAAGGUCACUGGAAUGGCGUGAGCCGAAGGAGCAUGACGAUUGGAGUGCUUGCGGCGCGAAGCUUUUGGAAACCCUAGGGUUUCCUAACCUGCUAACUGAUUUGGGCCUUUUGGGUCGAGGGUGUAAUGGGCUACUGGGUAGCUUAGGUAUUUGGGCUAUGGUAUAGGCUUGGGUGUAAU
rnacentral:lncRNA from 1 species